UGCUGCCACACCUGCCAGCAAUCAACUUCAUCUCUGCCAGUAUUUCAACCCUGGUUCUCCACACACUCUCUCCUUGAUCGUCGUCGCUCCUGACUGGAUGCCACUGCAGUUCACUCCCCUCCGUCCACCAUCUGUCAGCUGGGCUCACCUACCUGCCUUCUCCCUUAUGGCUUUCUCCACGGUCUCCUGCUUCUCUCAGCCCUCUCGCCACAGCCCCACCUGCUCCUCGGUCCUCCGCGCCCACGUUCCCCAGUGUCCACCUCUCCUUCUUCUCUAACCCCUCUGUCCCCCCUUUUCCCUUAAUAAACCAGUUCUAAUCUGA